GGCACCUCCUCUUUCUUUUUGUGCAUGGACCACUAGCAAAGGAUGCAUAUUAUGUGCCAUAAAAACUACAAAAAUCUCAAGAAAAAAUCUAAAUAAAAUCAAUGCCAUAAGGAAAGAGUUUUGGUUUCCUAAAACUCUAUCUCAUAGAAUUUGAAAUCCAAACUAAUUUCUACUUUAUCUUGAUUCACAACCACUUUUCAUGUAAGAG
rnacentral:lncRNA from 1 species